UACGAAGGGUGCAAGCGUUACUCGGAAUUACUGGGCGUAAAGCGUGCGUAGGUGGUUUGUUAAGUCUGAUGUGAAAGCCCUGGGCUCAACCUGGGAAUUGCAUUGGAUACUGGCAAGCUAGAGUGCGGUAGAGGAUGGCGGGAUUCCCGGUGUAGCAGUGAAAUGCGUAGAGAUCGGGAGGAACAUCUGUGGCGAAGGCGGCAUCCUGGACCGACACUGACACUGAGGAGCGAAAGCCAGGGGAGCAAACGGG
rnacentral:rRNA from 1 species